rnacentral:rRNA from 1 species
CUUUAUAGCUUGCUACGGAGAUGAUUAGUGGCAGACGGGUGAGUAAUGCAUAGGAAUCUGCCUAGUAGUAAGGGAUAGCCACUAGAAAUGGUGGGUAAUACUGUAUAAGCCCUGCGGGGGAAAGAUUUAUCGCUACUAGAUGAGCCUAUGUUAGAUUAGCUAGUUGGUAGGGUAAAGGCCUACCAAGGCAGUGAUCUAUAGCUGGUCUGAGAGGAUGAUCAGCCACACUGGAACUGAGAUACGGUCCAGACUCCUACGGGAGGCAGCAGUGGGGAAUAUUGGACAAUGGGCGCAAGCCUGAUCCAGCUAUGCCGCGUGAGUGAGGAAGGCCUUAGGGUUGUAAAACUCUUUCAGUGGGGAAGAUAAUGACGGUACCCACAGAAGAAGUCCCGGCAAACUC